CUCAGUUCGGAUCGGAGUCUGNAACCCGACUCCGUGAAGCUGGAUUCGCUAGUAAUCGCGCAUCAGCCAUGGCGCGGUGAAUACGUUCCCGGGCCUUGUACACACCGCCCGUCAAGCCAUGGAAGCCGGGGGCGCUUGAAGUGCGUUGCCGCAAGGCGCGCCCUAGAGCGAAACCGGUGACUGGGGCUAAGUCGUAACAAGGUACC
rnacentral:rRNA from 1 species